rnacentral:lncRNA from 1 species
AACUGGUGUUCCCAAGACAAAAAAAAAGAAAUCUAAAAGUUUGGAAACAUUAUUUGAGGGAAUAAUCAAGGAAAACUUGUCUGACCUUGCUAGAGAUCUAGACAUCCAAAUACAAGCUCAAAGAACACCUGGGAAACUCAUCACUUAGACACACAGUCAAGAGGUUAUCCAAAGCAAAGAUGAAGGAAAGACUCUCAAGAGCUGUGAGGCAAAAGCAUCAGGUAACCUAUAAAAGAAAACCUAUCAGAGCAACAGCAGAUUUCUGAGCAGAAACUGUCAGAGGCAUGCAUGUGAACCAGGGCAACUCUAUCUUUAAUAGGAGCUGAGUUAAAUGAGGCUAAGACUUACUGGGCUGCAUUCCCAGACAGUUAGGGCAUUCUAAGUCACAGGAUGAGACUGGAAGUCGGCACACAAUACAGGUCAUAAGUACCUUGCUGAUAAAACAGGUUGCAGUAAGGAAGCCGGCUAAAACUCACCAAAACCAAGAUAGUGAUAAGAGUGACCAGAGGUCACUGGUGGUCCUCACUGCUACACUCCCAUCAGUGCCAUGACAGUUUACAAAUGCCAUGGCAACGUCAGGAAGUUACCCUAUAUGGUCAAAAAAGGGGAGGCAUGGAUAAUUCACCCCUUGUUUAGCAUAUAAUCAAGAAAUAACCAUAAACAUGGACAACCAGCAGCCCUCGGGGCUGCUCUAUGGAGUAGCCAUUCUUUUGUUCCUUUACUUUCCUAAUAAACUUGCUUUCACUUUACUCUAUGGACUCACCCUGAAUUAUUUCUUGCAUGAUAUCUAUGAACAAAAGAAGUCAUUAUACAAAAAAGAUACCUGCAUACACAUUUAUAGCAGCACAAUUUGCAAUUGCAAAAAUAUGGAACCAGCCCAAAUGCCCAUCAAUCAACAAAUGGAUAAAGAAAAUGUGGUAUAUAUAUACACCAUGGAAUAACACUCAACCAUAAAAAGGAACAAAAUAAUGGUAUUCGCAGCCACCUAGAUGGAACAUUGGAAAUAAGUGAAUUAAGAAUCAGUAUUAAAAUACACUGGCUUGUUUUUCAGGUAGAGCACAGCGAGUAGACUGGAGAAAGCUGUGACCAAGAUGAACUGCAGAAAAGGAAGUUUUUUCUAGUAACAACACCCGUCCCUAAAUAAGCAACCUCUUCAGUCUAGUCUAGUAACACAACUCUGAUCAUCUUUUCCACUUAGCUGAGAUUUUAGGAAUAGAAAUUUUGCAUAGAGUAGGUACAGAAAGGGGAGAUAACAGUGAUGAACAUUUAAAAAGCCUAGAAAGAAGCCUGUAAUCCCAGCACUUUGGGUGGCCGAAGUGGGUGGAUCUCUUGAGGUCACGAGUUAGAAACUAGCCUGGCCAACAUGGCGAAACCCCAUCUCUACUGGCCAGCUGCAGUGGCUCACGCCCGUAAUCCAAGGACUUUGUGGGGCCGAGGC